CGUCCGACGUCCGAACGCGUGGUCGUUAUCACAACCGCUUUGUGCGUCGUACGUUCCGUCGUUAUUUCAAUAUUGCUUAUCCGUUUAUUGAAUUUAGUGAUUUUGUAAAUUUUCUACUUUUACCGCUAUUGCCGUUUUAUAUGUACAUAUUAAUCGAAACUCGCCGUCGGUAAUUUUACGGCGAUUGCGAUUAACGUAGUUUAUUAAUUGUCGACAAUGAGAGUGCUGCUGGCUCUAACGAUCCACGACGGAUUUAUUAACACGGUUUUUGUACGGCGUUUGUUGUUGUAUCCCGAGGAAUGUUUCCAUAACGGCUCGGCCUAUUGGUUCUAACGGACAACUGGAUUUAUUGCGCGGACGGUAACGAGUAAGCUAGAGAUUGAUGAUGGCAGUCAUUUAUUUGAUUUAAUUUGAAUUUAUUGCAAAG